rnacentral:misc_RNA from 1 species
CCCAAGCUGGUUGACGGCCGCGACGAAUUUCCGGUGCAGCUCAAUCGACCAGACGACUCUCGGCUUCUUAGCCGCGGAGGGCUCGUCGCCCUCCUGGAAAUCGUUCUCCUCGCCGUCGUCCUCCUCGUCGCUGUGCAUUUCCUUCCUCUUCCUGCCGAUCCUCCCGCUCUGGUCGGAAGCCCCGGCAGUGGUCUGGCCGUGGCCGUGGCCGUGGCUGUGGCAUGGAUCCGCGCCUGGCAGCCUGUUGAAAUCUUUGUAGACGUCAAGGUUGCUGCGCUCUCGCUUGCUGAACUUCCUCCUGACGACGUGCUGCCAUAUGUUCCUUAGCUCUUCGAUGCGGACGGGUUUCAGGAGAUAGUCGCAGGCGCCAUGGGUUAUCCCCUUCAUCACGGAUUUCGUCUCCCCGUUCACUGACAACA